rnacentral:lncRNA from 1 species
CCGGACUUCGAAAAUCAUGAGGUUACGGUGUCCAUUUGGUUGGAGAGCCAUUUGAAUGGUUCCGGUAAGGUUGCGGUGUAAUGUAAUAUACCGGAUUUAAAAAAAAAUAAAUAAAUAAAAAUAGUAUGAGAUACUAUUUUAUUGGAUUUAGAGAAGUAAAAUAUAAGUCAGAAGUGACUUGUGCUGAAAUCGGGAUGAAAACAGAAUAUUUAGAAUUUUCUGUGUGAAACGGGGCAGAUAAAUUAGCAUAAAAUGCACAGUGUCAAAAAAUUAUGAAAACUGGAGGAUAAGUCAGAAUUAUUUUUAUGAGGCUAGAUUUAAAGUUUCAGCCCAUUCUGACACCCGUAGAGUGAGAAUAAAAUCCGACAGUCAUCUGAUAAAGAUUACAAUUCGGUACAGCUUUCGGUGACCAAAUGGGGUCGAAACUGAAAUAUUAAAAUUUCUUUGGACUCUUUAAGUAAAACCGAAUAUGACUGUCAGAUUUGAGCUCAAACGGAUAUUCAGGGAGUUCCGGCGAAAGAUAUCAGAUUUCAAGCUGCCUGAUGUGAAUAGUGUACGCUACUAUUGAGGGUUGACUAUAAGUAGAAGCUACUAGGCUUCUCCCUCUCCAUCAGCCGACCACCAUCUCCACCACCACACGUUCAUGGUGUAGUGAGAGAAACUCUCCCUUUUCUCUCUCUAAAUAUCUCUCUCAUCUCUCUAUAUUUCUCGCCCAAAUUCGCGGCGUUGGUGGAGAUCGAGCUUGCGAACGCGUUGGAGGCGACGGAUUGAGCUUUCGUGCGCCCGUUGAAGCGACGUGUUUUCGUUGCGGCGUUCACAUUGGGGUAAGCUUUUGGGAUUUGGCUUAAUCCUUAGCUUUAAGAGUUCUAGUAGCCUCUAAUGAGCAUUCUUAGUAUGUUGCUCCGUUUAAUUUGGAUUAUUUGGGGGUAAUUGCAUGUUAGGGCUCAAAAAUGGGAUUUCUCAAUAUGUAAGGGUUUGAUCUCAUUUGACCCUCUAUAAACCUAAUUGCAAGGUAAACGAACGCAUUGGCGAAGUCGGUUCGGCGAUUCGUCGAGCCGUUGUAAAGUUAUUAAAGAAACGGUCGUUUAGGCAUCGUUUCCGCCUGGAGGGCCGAGGCGACAUCGUAUACUUAUGAAAACGGAUUUGAAGCAUCGUGGCACAUAACCGAAGACCUUUAAUUUUCGGAUCGUGAAUUGGUGGCCAUUCGGGUGGUCGCACAAGAGUUUGGCCCGAACCGGACCACGUGCGCCGCGGGAGGCCGAUUGCGAGUGACGACGAGCAAUCAGAACGCUAUAAAAGGUGGGUGGUGUCCAUCCCGAAGCAACCGGGCUCCUUUUUAUGUCUAAGUUUUAUAUUGAUCAAAUUGCAUAUUGACAUCUUGCAUUAUAGGGUGAUAAAUGAUGGUUUGGUCCUAUACCUUGCAUGUUCUUUGGUAGAAUAAUGUAUUUGGCUUAGUACUUAUAUCUAGCAUGCUUGAGGUUUAUAUAUGUGAUGUGGAACCCUAUAAUGAGAUGAUAAGUGUGGAUGGGAAUUUAGUAAUGUAUUGGCUAUUGCAUUGGAAACUUGUAAAGAACGAGUGGCAUCUAGUUGAUAGUAAACAAAAGAACAGAUCGAGUGACCAUAUGUGAGAUUCGUAGUGUAUAUGGAAACCUAUUGGACUUAUAUAUGAUUGUAACCUAGAGGAUGAGGGUGAUUCUCGAGGACAGGAUUGGAUGUCAUGCUUAACGGUCUGUUUUUAAAUCUUGUGAUGGAAGCCCACACAAGUAGUGCGCGGUCCGCGAAGUUGGUCACGUGGGAUCUGCCCUAUUUUGGGCGUCCGCAACGGGAUUGGCUAUUUUGGCCCCGCCAGAUCGGUCUCAUAUUGGUUCGUAGUAUGAGUUAAUCUCCCUAACGCGUCGAGAUGGCUAGUGAGCUGUAGGCGAGCUCUGUCGGUAUGCAUGGAUAAUGAACACUAAAUGAGAUUCUGGAUGAAAACGAGUAAAUAGCUUUUACCUUUUGGAACAAUGAAUUAAUGUUUAGUUUGUUUUAUACUAUUUCAUUGUACAUGCAUCUAUAUAUUUAUGAAGUCGGCAUAGUAGCGUAGCUUUACUCCUGCAAAAGUUUGGAUCGAUUGGGUGCAAAGUUGGUAAACCUCUAAAGACGGAUGAUUAAUAAAUGGACUCAGAGGUUUUGAUUUAUUCUCAGCAGGGUGUUCAUGGUUGGAUCAUACAAACAUGAAACUUGGUUGGUAGAGAAUAAGGCACGCCUUGUAUGUACUUUCGCCGGCGAUUGAGUCGCGUCAUCUAAUAGUUGCGACGAGGUUAGCAGGUUAGGUAAUAGCCCCGAUUGUUGUGUUUCAGGAGGCUAUGGCACCAAGGAGACACUACGCGCGCGGUGAUUCGUUUCCGGCAUCGCUCCGCCUCGCCGAGGUGCCUUGAGCAGAGCUGGGUCAAGUGAACGUGCAAAGAAUUUACUGAAGCGCCAGAUGACUAGCGGCUUAUCGGGUGAUUCAACGCCAAAGAAGUCAGAUCGAGCGGCUCCUAAGACUUUUGGAGCGAUCAUAGUGCGACGGCGGCUCGUGUAUGAACAACUGAAGGCGCUAUGGUCGCGCCCGCCCCUCGCUCGUCGCCGUUAUACGCUGAUGCGCCUUGAAGGGCGUGAGCAUUUUGGUGACUCCGGCGGUGGUCGGCAUCCCGCUCUGCAAGAAACUAGUGUCUCUCUGGCGGUUUUCGGUCCUUACGAUGACGUCAAUGCCGGACAGCUGGGGAAGUGAGACAUAGGUAACGCGAGGCGUUUCAAGGAGAGGUGGAGUUGAUAGAAUACGGUCCUGGAUGGUUCGGGGGAACAGUUCGAUUCAAAAGGGCCCCGAUCAAAAGGCGCGUCCAUGUUAGACAGGACCAUGCAGCUGGCGUGACUGCGGAGAAGAGCAUCGCGGCAGCGACUUUUAAGGUCGGGCGCGGCGGUUGCUUCAGUGUGUUCCGGCGGGACAAUAUGGCCCGUUCAAGUGCGAGAAGGAGUGCCACCUGCCCCGUCAGUUGCAAUCCCCCAGAAGACCAGCGGCAUUUCGGCAGGAGUUCCGUUGCUUAACUGCCGUAUCUGCAGGGUGUGUGAUUUUGUGGAGGAUCCCACCAGGCGGCGGCGUCGGCACUUGCGUAGAGUGCGAAAAGGAGGGGGUCAGGGAAAAGGGGGGAAAGGGGGGUGAAACAAAAAAAAGGUGUUUUCGUUGUGCGGCAAGUUCUGGGCCAUGAAAUAUGAUUGCCCCUUGAGCAUGGACGACUGCUACCGGGCCGGCAGGAACAACUUUACACUUCUGGGUCAAGAUGGUGGAUGUGCAUGGCUUGUGGACGUCUGAGAGCUUGGGGUGGUCCGAAAAGCGGCCGGCCGAAGGACUUUCAGGUGAGCGCCAAGCGGCCCGAUCACGCGGCUCAAGUCGAGGGAACCUGCUGCUGGUUGGUGAUGUCACGUAGGUAUUGAUUUAAUUAAGCAUCAUUAAUAUCUAGCAAGAACGUUUAAGCAGAUUGCAAUGGCAUUUGCUUUGGUCUUUUACUAGCUAUUUUACAUUUAGUAUAGUGCAGAGCCAGGACGCAGGUUAGUGUAGUUAUCCCCCCCAGCAUGCAUAGUCGUGGUGGAUGUCGCCUACCCCUAAAGGGAUUGGUGGAUUAGUCAAUGCGGCAAUACUUAGUGAGCUAACCGAGAAGCAAGAAUCCGUUGGGGAUUCUGUGCGUUGUAGCGUGUAGGGACAGGCGCACACCUAGCCGUACGUUUGCUUGUAUAGAGAGUCGGCAAGGGUGAUCGGUUAGAAAGGCAUUUCGAACGAACUCUAUUACCUGGUUCUCUCCGAUGUCUGGGAUGAGUUCAUGGGGAUAGUAUCCUCGUUUACUUCCCGCGAUGGUGAUAGAGGGAAGUUCAGGAUUAGGGGUGACUGGGCCGGGCCUAAAAAGGCCCGGCUGGGCCAUGUUUGGGCCGGGCUUUGGGUAUUAAAAAUACAACUUUGGGUUCGGGCCGGGUUUAAAAAUUUAGGCCCGAAAAAAUUUUGGGCCUAUUUGGGCAUGUCCAAGCCCGACCCGAGCCCGACCCAAAAGCCCGAUAUAUUAAUUAUCAAAAUAAAAUAUUUAAUUAUAUAUAUUAUUUAUCUAUAGUAUAUCAUAUAUAGUAUAUAUUGUUAUUAAUGAGCUUAUAUAUAUGAGGAUAUAUUAUAUAUUAACAAAAUAUUUAGUUCUAUAUUAUGAUAUAUUUGAUAUUAGAUAUUAAUUUCUUUGAUGUGAUAAAACUAAAAAUACGUAUUUUAUUUUAAUUUUAUACAAAUAAAAGUAUUUAUGUAUUAUAUGAUAAAUGCAUAAAAUGGGCCUCCACAAAGCCCGAUGGGUAUUGGGCAUUGGGCUUGGGCUUGGGCCGGGCCUUAAUUUUAAAAAAAAUUGGCUAAAAGCCCGACCCGAAGCCCAACAUUUUUUUUGGGCCGGGCUUGGGCAUAGUAAUACCCCAACUAAGCCCGGCCCAGUUCCACCAGGAUAAGUUUCCGAAGCUGUGGUAGGUAAACUGCACCGUGAGACGAUACGAGCAGGAGUUCUCCCGUGUCAUGAAAUGCAUCCUACACGUAGUGCGGAUGACGAGGACAUGGCCGAAUUGCUUGUGCGGAGAUUUCGGCCGGGCGUUGUUAAAGUCGUUUAUGUAGGGGAAGUGGAUUCUCAAAAUCCGAGGAUUUGACUUCGUCGGAAAUUGACUAAUUGUCGAGUGUGUAGGCUUCGGAGAAGCCGAAGAUGUCUAAAUCACCAAAAGUACAUUGGAGUUGGAGUCCACGAGAGCAAUAGUGCAAGGUCUGCACUUGGUGGAGUUGCUCUCGGGGACCGGUCCCUGGCAGGGAGGAACCGGUCCCCGUAGCCAAUGGUUGCAGGGUUGCUUGAUGCAACCGGUCCCUGGAUCUGAGGGACCAGUCCCCCCCGUAUGCGAAAUCGUCGAGAAGCGAAAAAUUGGCUAAGUCCCGGAAAUGCCACUCUCGGGAAUCGGUCUCUCAGCAGGAACCGGUCUCCCGAGGACCGGUCUCUCGGGCAAGGACCGGUCCCCGUAGCUCAAAAUUGCCCAGUUUGGGGCAAUGCACCUUCUUGAUUCCAAUCGCAAUCUCGAACCUCGGAGGUGCCUUUAUUGACUUCCUUGAGAUGCGGGAUUGUGGGAGUUCUCACCGAGCACGUAAUGUGCGUUGCGUGGUGAGAUAGGCAUUCGUGCGGUCGAUUGCAGGGUCGCGUUGUAGGAGGUAGCCUCUUCCUCUCCGAGACAGUUUGUGGAUGUGAAGUCUACAGAGUGGUCUAGAGAACGAGUGGUGAGGAAGUGACGACGGAAGGCUCGCGGCGGGCAACGAGCGUCCGUGAGUACGCGACCUUGGUCGAAGGACCUUGCAUGCAUUCGUCGUGUGGUCGCUUGCUAUCGUCGAUGCAUCGAUGUAGUAAGGACCAAAGUGACGGACAAGUGUAAAUACCCGAGCAUGCUUGCGCGUGAGGGUGUAACGCUUGCUGGAGUAGAUGGAGGGCUAGACGGUACUAGCAAAUUGCUAGUAGUGGAAUCACUGUUGAGAGAGUAGCCGUAUAGUUGCCGAAUACGAGAACGUUAGCCGAGUAGUACCUCAAGUUGAGGUCAGCGAGUCAUGCUCGUGUAGUGGGUAUGCAUAGGCAAGGUUGCCUAAUGCUGACCUAGUUGGAACGCAGUAGAGGCGUGUAGAGCGCUCGAGUGUAAUUACGCGUGAAGUGCGGUUUCGAUUCAGCCGGUCGAGUGAAUUGGCAGUAGCACUUCGGCAGGGCUAAGUGUGAAGCGGGCCACGGAUCACUCGUGAGGGCUGGUGGCUCAUACUAGGUGCUUAGGCACUUAGGAGUCGGUAAUGGUACGUGUAACUCAAUAGAGUAUGUCGUAUAAGACGACGACGGCGAGUAGUGCUUGGGGACGAUCCGUGCCUGGACCAUUUGUGGACUGUGGAGCCUGGGCCCAUUGGGCAGGCACAGUCAGCUGUGAGAGACAGCGGCCCAAUGUAGGGCAGAAUUUUGGUCAGGGCGGUAGUCCAAGCUGAGACUCGGGAGCGUGGAAUGACACACGUGGAUCAUGAGAUCAAGGUUACACCUAGUGGGUAGUGACCCAACCCAAGGAUUCGACGUGGUUUGAGGUCUUAGUUGCUCCUGGUUGAAGUGUGUGCGAAUUCUCCAAUAAGAAUUUCGCCCAGUAGUGAUAAUUGGGUCUACACUGGUGAGCGAGAGACACUACGCGUAGUUGAGACUGGUUUAAGCGACAGGUCUACGUAGGAUUGGUGACCUGUGGUUCACCUAUGGAUUUGAUGAAAGUGGUUGAGCGAGUAGCCUCAGUGAUGGGCGUGGCCUAGAAUGACGAACGGAUGUUCAUGUGGAUUCGUUGCACGAACGAGUUGGUGAUGGUCGUGGCAUAUGGUAUUCGAGGAUAUACUGCUCGCGUGAGACAUUGAGCUAUUGGAAGCCACGAGAGGUAGAGGAUUGAAGUUGAUGCCCCUAAGUGAAUUGGAGCUUGAGGAUAAUGCUCUUUUAAGGGCUGAGUUGGAGAUGUGCCGAAGCGUGCCAUCCCGCGGUAGAGCAAGGGUCUGGUUGAAGAUUGGAGCACUCGCAGUGGGUCGAUGCACCAAUGAUAUUGCUUCUAGGCGAUAUUGGUGAUCGAAUUGGAGUGUGACCCCUAGAGGGAUGGUGAAAGUGAUGAAGAGUCGUGAAUGAGAAAUACGAACUCUUGGAUAGCCAAAGUGGCGGAGCGCCGCUUUGUUGACAUUCGGGUGAUUCGAGAGGGCUUACCCGUGUGUGCUGUGUCGUGGUGGUGGACCAUAUGACUAUUGGUGCGUUCUUGAUAGCUCCACACCAUGAGGAUAGCGGGUAGUCCCGGUCUCGAGGGAGGUGGUUUGGCCUUAGUGGGCCAGUUAGCGAAUGGCGUUGGAGCGCGUAGAGCCGUUGAGCCUCGACUUGCGCUGCUACCAAGAAUAACGGAGAACGUAAUGCACCUUGCGAGAUGCGCCUUGCAAAGUUGUACGAGUUGGGUAUUGUACCCUCCGUGUUGGGCCUCUUGGAUAGUUGCAAAGAGGGUAAAGCCAUUCCGAACUAGAAAAGUGCAUUAGCGCCCUAAAUUGCUCAAGGAGCCGAAUUGAGGCGUGGUUUGAGUUUCGCGGACGAAACUCUUUUUAAGGAGGGGAGGAUGUAAGGUACCGGACUUCGAAAAUCAUGAGGUUACGGUGUACGUUCGAUUGGAAAGCCAUUUAAAUGGUUCCGGUGAGGCUGCGGUGGAAUGUAACAUACCGGAUUUUUAAUAUAAAAGUGAAAAUAAGUAAAAAUAGUAUGAGAUACUAUUUUAUUGGAUUUAGAGAAGUAAAACAUAAGUCAGAAGUGACUUGUGCUGAAAUCGGGAUGAAAACAGAAGAUCUAGAAUUUUCUGUUGGAAACGGGACAGAAAAAUUAGCAGAAAAUGCACAGUCUCAGAAAAUUAUGAAAAUUGGCGGGGAUGCCAGAAAUAUUUUAAUGAGGCUAGAUUUAAAGUUUCAUAUUUUUCUGACACCCGUAAAGUGAGAAAUAAAAUCCGAAAUCCAUCUGAUAAAGAUUGCAGUUCGGCACAGUUUUCGGUGACCAAACGGGGUCGAAACUGAAAUAUUAAAAUUUCUUUGGACUUAUUAAGUAAAACCGAGCGUGCCUGUCAAAUUUGAGCUCAAACGGAUAUUCAGGGAGCUCCGGCGAAAGAUAUCAGAUUUGGAGCUGCCUGAUGUGAAUAGUGUAUGCUACUAUUGAGGUGUUGACUAUAAGUAGAAGCUACUAGGCUUCUUCCUCCUCAGCUGCAGCCAACACCAAGCAUCACACGUUCAUGGUGUAGUGAGAGAAACCCUCUCUUUCUCUCUCUAAAUAUCUCUCUCAUCUCUCUAUAUUUCUCGCCCAAAUUCGCGGCGUUGGUGGAGAUCGAGCUUGCGAACGCGUUGGAGGCGACGGAUCGAGCUUCCGUGCGCCCGUUGGAGCGGCGUGUUUUCGUUGUGGCGUUCACAUUGGGGUAAGCUUUUGGGAUUUGGCUUAAUCCUUAGCUUUAAGUGUUCUAAUAGCCUCUAAUGUGAAGUUAGUUUGUUAAAUCCUUAAUAUUUGGAUUGUUUGGAGCAUAUGUUGAGGCUAGGGUGUGAAAAUGGGGGUUUACAAAUUAGGUGGGGUUUGAUCUAAUUUGACCCUUCGUAAACCCAAUUGAUAGGUCACUGAACGCGUUGGAAGCGACGGUUCGGCGAUUCGUUGAGCCGGUGCAAAGUUAUUAAAGAAACGGACGUUUAGGCUUCGGGUCCGCCUGGAGGGCCGAGGCGACGUCGUAAAAUCGUGGAAACGGAUUUGAAGCAUCGUAAUAGGAAACCGAAGACCUUUAAUUUUCGGAUCGCGGAUCGGAGGUCGUUUGGUUGUCGCGCGCGGAUUGGGUCAAGCCGAGCGGCGUGUGCCGCGUGAGGCCGAUUGCAAGUGACGACGAGCAAUCGGAACGCGAUAAAAGGUGGGUGGUGUCCAUCCCGAAGCAAUCGGGCUCCCUUUUAUGUCUAAGUUUUAUAUUGAUCAAAUUGCAUAUUGACAUCUUGCAUUAUAGGGUGAUAAAUGAUGGUUUGGUCCUAUACCUUG